UUUUAAAACGUACGUUCAGGCUGAAAAUUGAACCGUGGUGUUGUAUCGGGAGAGGCAGUGACUUUACCAGUGAAACCACAGAAGAAAGAGGAGGUAGCAUGAUGUGGCCAUUGUGACGGCAGAAAAUAGUUUUCUUCUUAUACUUAAAGUCAUUUAUGAAACAGAUUUCCACGACAGCCAUCCCUGGCAUCUUGGUAAGAGGAGGAUAAAAAGAAGGAGAAGUAGGAGAGCAACGCAGAAAAUAAACCAAAAACAAUAAAAUAUACCUUUUAUAUUUCCACA